rnacentral:rRNA from 1 species
AUCAAUAGCGGAGGAAAAGAAACCAACAGGGAUUGCCUUAGUAGCGGCGAGUGAAGCGGCAAUAGCUCAAAUUUGAAAUCUGGCACUUUCAGUGUCCGAGUUGUAAUUUGAAGAAGGUAUCUUUGGGUCUAGCUCUUGUCUAUGUUUCUUGGAACAGAACGUCACAGAGGGUGAGAAUCCCGUGCGAUGAGAUGUCUAGAUCUAUGUAAAGUUCCUUCGAAGAGUCGAGUUGUUUGGGAAUGCAGCUCUAAGUGGGUGGUAAAUUCCAUCUAAAGCUAAAUAUUGGCGAGAGACCGAUAGCGAACAAGUACAGUGAUGGAAAGAUGAAAAGAACUUUGAAAAGAGAGUGAAAAAGUACGUGAAAUUGUUGAAAGGGAAGGGCUUGAGAUCAGACUUGGUAUUUUGUAUGUUACUCUCUCGGGGGUGGCCUCUACAGUUUACCGGGCCAGCAUCAGUUUGAGCGGUAGGAGAAUUGCGUAGGAAUGUGGCUCGGCCUCGGUCGAGUGUUAUAGCCUUCGUCGAUACUGCCAGCUUAGACUGAGGACUGCGGCUUCGGCCUAGGAU